AUUGAACGCUGGCGGCAUGCCUUACACAUGCAAGUCGAACGGCAGCGGGCCUUCGGGUGCCGGCGAGUGGCGAACGGGUGAGUAAUGCAUCGGAACGUGCCAUUGAGUGGGGGAUAACGUAGCGAAAGUUACGCUAAUACCGCAUAUUCUGUGAGCAGGAAAGCAGGGGACCGCAAGGCCUUGCGCUCUUUGAGCGGCCGAUGUCAGAUUAGCUAGUUGGUGAGGUAAAGGCUUACCAAGGCGACGAUCUGUAGCGGGUCUGAGAGGAUGAUCCGCCACACUGGAACUGAGACACGGUCCAGACUCCUACGGGAGGCAGCAGUGGGGAAUUUUGGACAAUGGGCGCAAGCCUGAUCCAGCCAUGCCGCGUGAGUGAAGAAGGCCUCGG
rnacentral:rRNA from 1 species